GUGGGGAAUCUUCCGCAAUGGACGAAAGUCUGACGGAGCAACGCAGCGUGAGUGAAGAAGGUUUUCGGAUCGUAAAGCUCUUUCGUUAGGGACGAACGUGCUCUUUGUGAAUAAUGAGGAGUAAUGACGGUACCUAAAUAAGAAGCCACGGCUAACUACGUGCCAGCAGCCGCGGUAAUACGUAGGUGGCAAGCGUUGUCCGGAAUUAUUGGGCGUAAAGCGCGCGCAGGCGGGAUAUCAAGUCUGUCUUAAAAGUGCGAGGCUCAACCUCGUGAGGGGACAGAAACUGGUAUUCUUGAGUGUCGGAGAGGAAAGUGGAAUUCCAAGUGUAGCGGUGAAAUGCGUAGAGAUUUGGAAGAACACCAGUGGCGAAGGCGACUUUCUGGACGAUGUCUGACGCUGAGGCGCGAAAGCUAGGGGAGCGAACGGGAUUAGAAACCCCUGUAGUCC
rnacentral:rRNA from 1 species